rnacentral:tRNA from 1 species
GCCGGGAUAGCUCAGUGGUAGAGCAACGGUUUUGUAAACCGUGGGUCGCAGGUUCAAAUCCUGUUCCCGGCU